rnacentral:tRNA from 1 species
GUUUUCGUGGCCUAGUGGUUAUGGCAUCUGUCUUACAAAGUCUCCUCUUUGAACACAGAAGAUCCCCGGUUCGAUCCCGGGCGAGAACA